rnacentral:tRNA from 1 species
AGCCCGGGCACCCUUUGGGGUGCGUCUCUAGAUUUGCAUUCUAGCGUAAAUACCUCCGGACUUG